CAGUAGCCGCGGUAAUACGUAGGGUGCGAGCGUUAAUCGGAAUUACUGGGCGUAAAGCGUGCGCAGGCGGUUUUGUAAGACAGGCGUGAAAUCCCCGGGCUCAACCUGGGAAUGGCGCUUGUGACUGCAAAGCUAGAGUGCGGCAGAGGGGGAUGGAAUUCCGCGUGUAGCAGUGAAAUGCGUAGAUAUGCGGAGGAACACCGAUGGCGAAGGCAAUCCCCUGGGCCUGCACUGACGCUCAUGCACGAAAGCGUGGGGAGCAAAUGGGAUUAGAUACCCCUGUAGUCCCUGUCUCUUAUAU
rnacentral:rRNA from 1 species